CGCCCGGACCGCGCCGGAGGAGAACGGAGGCGGCGGGAACGGAGCGGAACGGAACGGCGGCAGCGGCCCGGGGCCCCGCGGGCGCUUUGUCCUCGGCCGCGCCGCUCCGCACCUGCGCUGGCGGACAAAAGGCCGCGGGCUCUGCCCCACCGCGGCGGCCUCGGCCGGGCCGCGCUGCGCCGGGUCCUGCGGGUGCCCCGGGGCGAGGCCCGGCUCGGGCCGCUCGAGUUCGCCGCGGCGGCUCCGGAGCUCCCGGCGGCGGAGGAGGCACCGGCAGCGGGCGGGUUAAAGCCGGCGGGCUGAAGGCCCGGCCCGGCCCCCGGGGCUGCCCUGCCCGCCCGGAGCGCUCCCGAGGCCACGGCCCCCGCCGAGCGGAGGCUGCCGGUGGGCUCGGGCUCCCAGCGGGGCCGCGGGCGGGGAGGGGAGAGCUCGCACCCGGGGCUGCUGCCCGGAGCUCGGCGCUGCCCGCCCGGACGGCUCCUCCGGCGGAGCCCCGCACCGCGGCCGGACGGCCCUGCUUGCGGCACCGGAGCAGCGGUUCGGCGCGGCCCGGCCCGGCCUGAGCCCCAACCCGCGGACGGAGCGGGGCGGCCCCGCCGCUCAGCAGCUCCUCGCUCGUACAAAUCAACAGAGCUGUGCCAAGCUCCGGCGUCUCGCUGCCCUCCCGCAAGUUCAGCCGUGUGCUGCGGGCCCCGCGCUCUGCUCAGCGCUCGGGCAAGCUGGCAUGGAGGAGCCCGGUGAGGAACAAGUGAAAUGUUGGGUGUCAGAUGAGAACUGGAGCCUCUCUGCCCUGCCUGCACAGCACGUCGCCCUGAGAAAGGGCACUUGUUAGCAUUGGUGACACAUCAGAACGCAGCAGCACACAAAGCCUCUCUCAGGACAGGGGCACUGCAGGCUGACAGGCUGUAUCUGCUCUGUGCCACAGCGCUGCCAAACGUUCCCCUGCCCAUCUCCACACCUCAUCAGAGCCUUCCCCACAGAGCGAGGUGCCAAACGGCUGCAGGUCAGCACCAGCCUCACCUGACCAUUCUUUAAUGACUGGUUUUCCCCGUGCCAAUACUCCUCACCUCCCUCCUGGAGAUGAACCAGGACACCUCUGUUUUAAUAGCACCCCAUAACAGUAUUUUUCAUUACCUCGGCUCAUCCCAAAGGCUGUGGCUGCAACCGGGAGCUGAAUUCAUCCACCCGCUAGCUCUGCCAAGCCACCAUUCACCCCUUCCAUUUCCUGAGCUGAAGUCAGAGGCACUAUCUCAUCUCCUGGCCCCACACCUGGCACAGAGAGAGCUCACAACCAGACGCUCAGCGGCCACCCCGGGGACUGAGCUGUACCUCAGCCAUGGUUGCAGCAUCGCAGUCACCUCCCCUUGCACACCCUGGGAGUUCUGGGCCAUCAGAAACCCACUGCUCUCCUGCCACGCUGCCCAAACUCACUGCUGCUGCGCUGCCUCCUGGCACCUGCUCCGAGUUGGAUGGCAAAUACUCCAAGUGGGGAACUAAUGUUUUGCAUGUCACCUGGCACGGGCUUCCAUGCUCCAUUGACUGCCCAACUUAGGCAGAGGAGCAAUGCUAAUUAAACUCCAGAAAGGAGAAAAGAAACAAGAGAUCAGUGCUGGGCACACAAAAGGACAACAUCCUUUGGUUUACUCCCAGCAGACUGUUAUAAUUUUAAGUGUAUUAUACACAACAGAUAAUGCAGAGCACUCAGAGGCAGCAUUAAAACACUUCACUAUAUACAUAUAUAUAUAUAUAUUCUGCAUUAGGCUUAUUAUUUUUUUCCUCUUCUUUUCCACCAAGAUAAUAAUGGAGAAGAGAGAAGAGGAUCAAAGCGAGCCACCAUCUGUGAACAUAAGAGGAAAAAGAGCAAUCUUCAGGAGGGGCUGGAUGGAGGAUGUGGUUGGAGCUGCAUCCCUGGCAGUGACAGCACACUGUACCACGUAACUUAUUCCAAGGCCCUUUCCAAAACACAGUCAUAUGUUGCGUUUCCACCUCUGGACCCCAAAGCCCUUUGGAAGUAUCAAUGCAUUUAUCUCUAUAACACACAAGCCUGAAAAAAUCUGUUGAUUAGUGACAGUAGGAAGCUUUCCUCACAGAGAAGUAAAUAUAUAAAACAUUCCAGACCUUAUGAUUGGAAAGAUGAUCUCCAAAUAUAAAAUAAUGCAGCAUUGUACUCCUGGGGCUGCAGACAGACAGCUGUAGUGCCUCUGUGGCUGCUGCUGAGAGGUUGCCAAACACCAGCGAGAUUAACAAAACUGCUCAGUUUUCUUGCUGCUAUUCAGCAUCUCGUGUGUGGUAGAGUGACACUAUCAAAAUCAUGUCCACUUCCUGCUGGGGUCGAUGAUUGGCAAAGUGCUGCCCAGCACCAGAGGCAGACACUGGAGUUAUUCAUGGGGAGAGGGAGGUUCCCAGAAGUGGAGGUUAGGGGAGGGGCAGGGCGGCAGGGCCUCCUUUGCUCUGCCAUCAUACGAGAGUGACAGAGAGACCAAGUCCUGGAGGCUUGGCUGUCCUGGAGGCUCAGCUGUGUCCCGGAGCCGGGAGGUUCUGGCCAGCGGGUACUCAGAGUUGUUUUGUUUUUCGUUCCAUUCGGACAGUUAAUAAACAAACUUGAACUGGAAUCCAAAUCACUCUUCUCCUAUUCAUGUUCCGACGCUGAACAAGCAAACCUGGAAGAUAUUAAGUGCAGCUCCAGGCAGCCCGGGGGCAAUGCCAGGCUCUGGAAGCAGCUUCUGGUCACGCUCCUGUGUGCUGGGGAAGUGAUGCUGACCCCCUGCAAGGCCAAGGGUAGAACUGCCCCACGCACUGCCACUGCGGCCACCUCUAAGGGAAUGGUUCGGCCGCUGUCUGCCUCGAGGGCACUGGGCUGGGGAGGCAGCAGGCACAGCCAGGGAGAGCAGUUACUGAAAUUGAAGUGCUGAGGCUUUGCUCUGGUUGUGGGCAGGACGACACGGGCAGCAAGAGGAGAAUGGCUGCAAAAGCACUGAGGAGCUCUUUGCUGUGUAGGAAACCUCAUAGAGCAAGGGUGAUGAUGGGAAAAUGGGAUACAUGGUGCACAGCAUCAAAUAAUAGGGUGGGAAAGGAGAGAGGAACUGGGCUGCAUGCAAGAAGCAUACAUGGCAGCAUCUCCACUUCCCAUUAACCAAAACAAACAGCAGAUCUGAAAAAUGGGACCUCACUCUCCUCUCCACUUCCACCCUCAUCUCUUCAUUACCGUUUGUCACAGACUUUCAUCAGACACUGCUUUCUGCUCCAUCCCAGCUCCUGCUUAGCCUCUGCCCAGCCCUCACUCAGCAUCCCACACAGAGGUGGUUUUCCUGGAUCGUCAGCCCGCUGCCACCAGGCUCUUCCCACCCCAGCAGCAGGGCAUUGCCUCCCGCUCUUCCCUUCUUCACCAGAAAGCUCAUGGUGGGAUGGUGACACAGAAGAAUCCAUUCCCCCACUGUCAGAGAAAAGAGAUGAGGACACGUGCAACAGAAAUCCAAAGGACAUUGAUUGAACUGCUCCUUGUGCUCACCCAGGAUAGGAUGAUCAGCUCAGCUGACAGAGAGAGACAUCAAGGUGAGAUGUUCCGAGAAACUCAGCAACUGUGGUGAUGGCUGAAGAUGGAAGAGGCCAGCUGGGAGGGCUGAGGAAUCCCCAUCCAUGAAGAUUUUUAAGAACACAUUAAGCAAGCAUUGGUUUGCUGAUCAGGUUAUACUUUGCCCUUGCCUGUGGCUAAGAGGUGACUUCUCAGCAAUGCUUUCUAUACUCAGUUUCUAUUAUUUCUUCGCUGGUUAGGUCAAGAACAUAUAAAAUCCACCUUAGAGAUAGCGAGUCCUAGGGGAAAGGGGAGAACAGGGCUGCAGGAAGGACAGCUGGGUCCCCAGCUGAGACUUUUGCAGGAGGCAGAAAUCUGGGUCCUGGCACUGCCCCAGAGCAGCACCAGAAGGAAUAGGCACUGACAGGAGCAGGCAGAGAACUUUUGGCCCAACACAUGAACAGGAGCUGAGCAAGCAGAAGCUGUUUCUCCCUCCCCUCUCUUUCAAGACACAAUCAGUUUCCCACCUCUGCUGUAACACUCACACCAGCUCUUAACUCUCCCAUUUCUUCAGGACUUAUUUUCUAAUUUAAUUUGAUGGGACCUUUGCUCCACAAAUCCCAACAGCACUUCCCAGAAGACACCUUUAUAGCAUUCUGGUACCUUGGUGGUGUAAAGCAACCGGGACUACACUGUUAAACUUAAGAGCACAAAAUUGAGAAGGUUUAUAGAUCAUUUGGGGAAUGAACAGGAAAAAGCUUCUUCAAAAUCCAAGGUACGUGCUGGAGCUCCUGAGACAGGAAAGGUUCAGCCCAAGGCGAGUGCACAGGACAGAAAUACACACUGUAAAUCUCCUUAAGCAGCUCAGCCUGUCCUGGUUCCUCAAGGUUUUGUCAAGGUAUUUUGUUUGUGCUUGUCACAUGACUUACAUCAGGCAUCAUGUCCUAAUCAAGAUGGACAACGGCAUCUUCCCAGGCAAAGCUCCAUCUUCAGCCUGUAGAAGCAGCUUAUCUGCUUGGUGCAUGUCACUCCUGCCUGAGCUGCCUCUGCUGAGCCAGACUACAAGGUCCAGGUGCACCUGGAGACCUCCAUAGUCAUUCUGCUGUUCGCUGUUGAAGAAUAUUCAACCAUCACCUCACCAAGCAAGGCUCUAACUCACCCAGUGAGCGCAGCACACAGAAGAACUCCUGGCUUUCCAAAGUAGUGCACUCAGCAUAGUCGCUCUGGGGCCAGGAGUGGUAUCUUCCGGAGGAGGGUUUGCCUUGUUCCCUGGGGCACACCAUCUUCUCUCAGGCUUAGAGGCUGCUGAGCCGUUCAGGCUAGGGAAUGUGAAACAAGGGGACUGAUGCUUGAGACUCCAGUCACAGCAACCUCGACCAGGUUUCAAUUAUGUUUAGAACUGAAAGCAGCUCAAAAUCUUUUCCUUGGUCUGAAUACACAGCGAUUCCUCCCUGCCCACAGACCAGUGAGCUGACCUCUAACUGAAGACAAGCUCUGAUUCUGCAUCACUCAUAACCUAGUGGGAAAUACUUUGCUCCUGCUGCUACUUGUCUGUUCUUGCCCUUGUAUCUUCUGCUCAGUUUUCACAGCCUUUAAGCAUUUAUCUUUUCACGCCUUUGCCUGCUCUGGAUUUCCCUCAAGGCUGAUUUUGCUACGUUCAGGUCCUUAUGCCGUUUUCUUUUUUUGCUGCACACAGACCUCCACCACCCACCUCACACCCAGGCAAUCCACAAGCUGAAGGAAACUGAGGCAUCAAGCCUUCUCCCCUCCAGAACAAGCAGUGAUUCGCCAACUCAAGAGAGCCCAGCUGGUAGGUGGCCAAGCCACCACAGCCACGAGGGACCCAAACAGCCAUCCAGGACAUUGCUCAGCACAGCUGGGACAUGAGCAACAUGGAGACACUGCCAAAAUGGGGCGAUGCGGAGGAGCAGCAGGAAAGCUCUCUCAGUGGAGGUAGGCAAUAUAUAUUGGAGCCAUCCCCUUUAUAGAAGUAGGACUGAAACUGUAACCUCUGCAGUUCAGAGCGUGUCAGAUACGAGCAUCAAAAUGCAGCACUCUACUAUAAAAUCUUAAGGGUCAUAGAAAAAAAGUAAUUUCAUGUUUGUAAUUUUUUUUUUUUAACUCCACAUCCCCUCCUUGGAGGGGUGCAAGGUCUGCUGGAUGGGGCUCUGAGCACCUGUGAGCUGUAGGUGCCCCUGUGCAUUGCAGGGGACUUGGACCAGGUGGCCUUUAAAGGUCCCUCCCAAUUCAUACCACUCUAUGAUCUACUUGUGGCAUUCCAGAUUGAUCAGGGAGCAGAUCCUUGCAUUCCUCCUGUUUGCAGGAGUGACCAGGGCAGCUCUAUAGGCUUCAGUAGAGAGGAAUCUCAUGAGUUACACUGGAAAUAGCGAGAUCAUACUCAGGCUUGUGAAAUCUUGACUCACUGGACUUGUAAUCUGAUGACACAGGUGUUUUUGGAAGCCCUGUUUAGUGUGUCCUGCCCUGCUCCAACAUUACCCCUCUGGAGAUCACCAAGUUCACUGCUUCAGACACCCAUGGGGUUUGGAAGCUGCCUACUCAGGAAGGAUGGAAACAGUGAGGCAGUAAGUUUUUUUUCCAAAAUUCCCUGUUGUUACUGAACAUUUUAGUCAAAAAGCUGGAGGUGCAGCAAACAUUCUAACUUCCAGACAAGGCCUGUGGGAGCUAUGGGCUCACACUUCUGCAAAAUGUAGCAUCCCAAGGUGCAUGCCCACAGUCUGUAUGUCAUACAUAGUGGCAAACUGGUAGAGGUGGAAAGCAUGACACUCAGAUAAUCCAUACCUCGUGUUUUCAGCUGCAGCAGCACCCUGCUCUCUGCUCAGCAGCACGCUGCUAAACACCAGGAAAGCUAGCACAAAUAUUUUCCUACUUCAGAAGUUAUCAUAUUCCUGUCACAUCUUAUAAAGUGUAUUUAAACCAAAACACAUUUUAGAGAGUGAACCUAAAAAAACCCUUGCUGGUGUUUGGAGAAAGCUGGGGACAGAAGAGACAUUUGCUGGGAAAGCAGCUCUAGAGCCAAGCACAUUUUUCAAGUGGGAAAGCUCCUCUUACACACUCCUGCUAGGCAGACAAAAUGUGCUCAAGUUUGUUGGUCAUUCUGGAGCCUUGCAAGAAAUGCAAGGUCUGGUAAAUUCAUUCCCAGAUGCUGGGGGAACAAGGGGUUGUGGGACUGGAUUCAAGAUGGGGAGAUUUACUGCAGAACAGAGAAAAAGCAAAUCAAUGGAAGUUUGUUCAGCCUUACUUCCUUUUUUUUUUUUUUUUUUUUUUUUCCAGUGAGGCUGCAAUAGGAGAAAUUUUUGGAUUUUAUGCUUGUGUUGCUUUAAGGGCAGGAAUGCUGGAAACAGAGGUAUUUGAUACCUUUGCUGCUAAUUACAGUGCAAGCUCUCAGUGUCCUGACAAUGCCCUUGUCCCUGACCUGGAGGGGCCUCAAUGUCUCAGGGUCAGCUGUAAUUUAGUUUUAGGUCAGACCAGGGACUCUCCUGCCCAACUAACCGCACUUUGUUUUGAAGUAGAAACCAUUUACUAGCAAGGAAGGGUCUGAGACCAUCAAACUCGCUUCAUUAACAAGAAACAGGAACGAAGUGCAGAGCCCCAGAGACGAAGGUCAGUGCAGAACACGAGGAGGGCUUGCUGAACUGCAUCACUAAGGAAGGGGCUGUUCUGCCCAUCAGCCACACAAGCUCACAUCUCCUGUUCCCUUCAAUUAAGCAUGUUUAUUACAAAAGCUUCUAGGGACCAGCUAGGCUGUGCCAGUCCCCCGUCUGGCACAAUGGCAUUGUCAGCCUCUCACCUUAGAGAGUUUACUGCACAUAAGAAGAGGCUUGAGAAAGAGGACUGAUCUCAGUACAGCUCACCAAGUGCUCGUGCUGCUCCUGCCUCUUCUCACAGGUUAGCUAAGUGAUUUGGGGGCACGAAAUUCUGUUUCUUUACUUGAAAUCUGGGAUUUUUCUUCCCUACCUCAAGAACUGCUUUGAGCUCUUCAGAGAGAACAUGCUGCAGAAAAUAACCUACAAGCUGUAAAGGAAAAUGCUUUUUAACUUUAAGCACUCUAACUCAGAGGGAAUGAAGUAUUUUGGAUCUGAUCUUCUUCCCCCUCACCACAUUCAUGGACAGAGAUUAUACUGCCAUGAUACCACAAAACACUGCCUGAAAUUAGCUUGCCAUGGAAAGAACUGUUCUUUACCAUUCCUGGGUUAGUCUGAAAGACCAGUGCGUUUCACGUGCUUUCAGAGUCCCCAUUUCUGCAUUUAUGUGGACAUAGGACUGUGUUUACCAAAAAAAAGCCCACCCUGAGCACAAACUUUGCACAUUACCCUGACAAGAGGUCAGUUUGCACUUACAAGAAAAAAAAGCUAGAUUAAAAAAAAAAAAGUCCAUUUACUAAAAAGUAAAAUGUUUUGACAGUGGGUUACAAUGUCCAAAUAAUGAAAACACAGAGAAAAGAGUAGAACAAAAUACGCUCUUUGGGAACACUGACAUAUCUUCAGUUCCAGAUGCUGGCCACCACUGGGGCUGGAGAUCAAAUGUGAGAGACCACAGCUAUGGAGAGAAGUGGGACUGCUAGGGGAUGUUCAAACAGUGAUGCUCAAGUCUCUCUUUGAUAAAAGUUGACUACAAGACAGCAGCACACCCUGAUAUGUGUUAAUGCUUGUUCACUGCCAUGCUUGACAGCUGCGAAGCAUUGCAGUUGAAAGAAUUACUAGCCCUGCAGACUUUCAGAUGAGUUCAAAAUGCAAUAUCCCAGUUGCCAAACGCCACAGCUCCCCAGCUACGCAUAAACCCAAUCUCUGCUCUCACUAUUGAUUCCUCUGUAAAUACCAAUACAGCUUCCAAGAGCCCAUCUGAAUUGCCAGAAGUCUUUGUGGGACAGGUCCCGGCUACCCAAGAGACCUCUUCUUCAUGACUCCCCAACAAAGACACAAUUUUCAGGAGCAAUGCAACUGCUGUGUUGCACAAAGCUCUGGAGCAGAGCAGAUAGCUUUCUUGGCAGCUGGCCCUCAGUGCUGGAGCUCGUUCUCAGGAGAGAUUAGAGGGAGUAAAAACCUCAUUGCCUUUAGAGCAAAGCACUCAACCUGCUUCUACCAGAGAUUUCUCACAAGAGGGAAAAAAAAUCCAAACGUCUCUACAAAUAGAAGACUGCAGGAACAGAAAAUAGAUAGCCCAGUUAAUGCCAUUUGUACCACUUUGUGAACAGCUCAGCUAACACUGUGAUCAGUAAGGACAGACAGAAGCUCUGAACGUUUUACACUGUGAAGAUCACCUGACUAACAUCUGGACAGGUAAUUGCCUCCCUACAUAAAAUCACCCAAAAAACAGGUCUGGGGUUGCAAAGUUUUCAAGUGAGGUUUUAAAAUUGUUGAAUAGCAUGAAAUGUAUGUUAUCUCCCAGGCAACCUUGUUCAAGCUCCCUUUUUAUUUUCAAGGCAUGCUAGAGGAUGGAAAUUAUCCUCAGGUUCCCAGGUAGUGCAAUUUAUAGACUGAGGCUGCUGAAAGUGCAAGUAGAAACUACUCAGACUCUCUUAGACUGCAUGUGCUUUCAGACUCCCCUUUCACUUCAGGUGUCACCAUAUCCACAUAACCCCUGUAGCAAAGAAGAAAGGAGAGAGCUUUCACUGGUGUCAAGGAAGGCUGAACUCUGUCUAUAGACAAGGAAGUUUUCUGUCCACGCACAGAGGACUGCACAAAUGAGCCGCUUCCCAAGGGCAGAGAAGAGUCCUCUUCAGAAGCAGCUCCCAGUGCUGGAGCUGCUGUGCAGCAGCACACGACGUCAGCUCACCCCACAGCCCAGCAGGCUCCCAGGGAUGGGGCCACGAGCACCACAGGGUACCUGGUUAACCACACAGAGGUCACCUCCUGCCCUCUGCCACCGAGGCAGGGCCCUGCAAGGUGCAGCACAGAGCUUUGGGCAGGGUGUACAAGCAGCAGCCCAGUCUGGCCUGGGAACUCAGGAGCAGCAAGGAGGGAGAGGAUGCUGGAGUGGAAGUGAUUUGAAUUAGAACAAACCGGCUGCUGAAUAGAAGCUUUUAUUCCAGCACGGAGAAAGCUUUGUUAGUCAAGCACAUGUGAUGCACAAAAGCCUCCACUUGAAUUCAUUGAGUUUUAAUUGGUUCUCAGGUGGGGGAGGAGACGGGUGUUAGGAAUUAGGGAUUCCUUAAAGAGGCAAUAUCAUUAAAUCUUAACGCCUCUUCCCUCUCACCCCACACCCCCAGCUUCAGCUUAGGAGUCUGGCCCCAUUCAAUUGUCUUAUGCCAGAGAAUCAGAAAAAAUGAAGGAGAGAAAGGGUGGGAGGGGGAGUCACUAAUAAAGCCUAAAGGGAGAUCAAUGAACGAGGAGGGUGAGGGGCAGGAUGAAGGCUGAAAAAAGAAAGGCUGGCUGGGAGAGGAGGGAGGUCACACACAGGCAGGGAAGGCAGGAGAACCUCCAAGGGAUGAAGGAAAGAGAAUGAUGCCAUUCGAGUCAUGGCUUUCUUUUCUGCCUGCAUUCCUUCUUUUAUUGAACACUUGAAACUUCCCCUGGAGAUCCUCCAUCUUGGCUCUGCGAGUCUGCGCUCAGUCAGUCACUUAUCAUGGGGAAGGAAGAAAAUCCUGGGAUAGGCACAGCACUGAGCGCGUGCACAAAACGACAGCAGCGAGAGAAACCUGUCUGGGAGGACCUCGUAAGUGCUGCCACUUGUUUUGCCAGACACAGCACGUUUCAGACAGAAGUUUUGUCACUAGGAGCCUGCUGCAGAAGUAGCUGAAUCAAGGUCCUUGUGAGUGAAAGAGAAAGGGAGUAAUCGGGAGCUAAGGAGAUUUCACAGUCAGCAUUGUAGGAGCUAUGGCACACUGCCUGCUUUAUGAGACUGUAGGUACCUACAAACCAGACCCCAACAAACGACUGCGAUAGGGUGAUGGAGGACGUCUCAAACGUACUGCAAUUUCCAUCAGCCCAAUAUAUCAUUGGAAAAUGAGUUAAUCUUGUUUUACCUAUUACAGUUGGAAUUUAGAUAUGUAAGUGAAUGACAUACCAAGCACACCACUUGCGAGCAUUAACCCUAAUGCAUUUUCUUCUAGAGAUCCGACAGAAGAAUGCUGCUUCUAUAUUUAAGACAGAACAUUUAUCCUGUAUAAAGCCACACAUAGAAUAUCUGCUAUUCAGGAAGCACGGCUUACUGUUUACUAUAACUCUCCAUUACAAAAUUAGACUGCACAGUCUCCCAAUGUAGACUUAGUCAUGGCACUAAUCUCCUUCAAAACAGGGACACUGCAACUAAUUACUUUACAGACUCCAACAGGAGCUCUCAGGCUUCAGUUUGAGGACAUUACGGGAUGCUGAAAACAGCAUUCCCAUAGUGGCCUCUUCUCAGGAGACUGUCUGACCCAGCUGUGGUAUGGGGCAGCUCUCACAUACAUGUGGGUUAUUCAUGUAUUUCAGGGGAAAAAAGAUGAGUGAAUUCACUCAUUGAAAAAGUCAUAGGAUCCCAUUUUCCAGACUCCCUCCCUGAAACAUGAGCCUAAGCAUCACUUAAGAGUGACACAGAAUUGUCUCAUUUGGUCCUUAACUCCAACUUACAGCAGACGGGGUCUCCACCUGGUGAAGGCAUUCGUGAGCAGUGGGAUGUGACAGUGCCUGGCACCAGCCACACAGUGUGUUCAUCCACACAUGGGGAAGAACUAACAAUACUUUGCCUUGAUUUUAAAUUGUGCAUAGUCCACAGUCUGACUUCACCACGCUGCUUACUGUCACUGCUUGACCAGUGCCAACCCACAGCAGCCCUGCCCUACAGGAGCAGCAGGACUUUCCACCAACAAGGCAGCCUCUCCUGGAAGGCUUGUGCAGGAAAAAUGAACAAAAAACCCCCCCACAAAUAAUAUUAGAGACAUGCUUUUUCUCUAAGCACUGUUUCUUGUACACUUCAAUUUGCCCCUUCUCAUAGAUGCACCUGCACUCCAGAUAGCAUGCAUGUUACAGACAGAUUUCAUUUCUUGUUUCCACCUUGCAUGUUUUUGUUAAUCCACAGCAUCAUUUCAAGCAAUACCCGACCUGCUUGGAGCACCCAGCUGCUCUUCAUCACCAACAGUAAUAUUCGGAGCCAUCCUUUCAGCUCUAGAAGAAGCCUAGCUAUGGCUGCUCCCUCAGUUAUACCAGCUUCACCUCUCAGGAGCUCCUGAAACUAGAAGAUUGACUCUUAAUUUGCAAGAACCAACAUCACACAAAGACAAUAUUCAGCCUUAACAAAAGAACACUACCAGUUUCAACAGGACCACAACAGAUACAUCUUACACCAAGCCACUGGUCAGGUACAAACCCUGACUUCCUUCGUGAAGGAUUUGUAGGACUGUUGACAGCUUCAUACUAUAGAAAUGAAGACAACUCCAGCAAAAGUCUUUACAAAUCAGAUCAGAACACUAGCAGAGCAACAAACUCUACUCCCCUCGGAAAUCAUCUGUUUCUGCUCCAGCAGUCAAGUAAGCCUUUGCAAGGGCUUUGGGAGCACCUAUCCCUUGGUCUAUGGCUGGUCACGCCAGCACCUUGCACACAGACCAAAGGUUUCCUGCAACUUGCACAGACAGAGACGGGCUGUAGCUCUUUGCUUGUGUUCGCAGCCCCUGGCAGGCUCCCAACACCAGCUUCAGCCCCAGUCCAUGCAGGGCUGCAGCUGCUACAGGACUGGACUUCAGAAUAUGCACGAUCACUCUGGGCCCAAAAGCCACAUCCCAGCUAGUCCAGGGAGAGGCAGAAAGCAGCACAAGAGCAGGGUGCUAUGUAUUACAGAGACAGAAUGAGGCUAGGAUGACUAAUGAGAGAAACCAGUGCAGCAGAAGCUUUCCAGUCCAGUGCCCUCACAGGUUUCUGUGCAAGAUGGUAAUGCUUUGCACAUUUAUUGGUGUAAUACCACAUACUUAUCAUUUCUUAAACUAGCACAACACCACACCUCUGGGCCCCACCAGCAUUGUGCCUUGCUUGGAAGGAUCUUUACAAACAUACAUGGCUGAUAUCGACCAACAACACGCAAGUUACCACUGUAAACUUCUGGGAGCAUGUUGAGUACUUUGCCCAUUGUAUCUAAACAUGUUAUUUCUCUGAA